CCUACGGGUGGCAGCAGUGAGGAAUAUUGGUCAAUGGGCGCGAGCCUGAACCAGCCAAGUCGCGUGAGGGAAGAAGGUCCUAUGGAUUGUAAACCUCUUUUGUCGGGGAGCAAAAGACGCCACUCGUGGCGUUCCGAGAGUACCCGAAGAAAAAGCAUCGGCUAACUCCGUGCCAGCAGCCGCGGUAAUACGGAGGAUGCGAGCGUUAUCCGGAUUUAUUGGGUUUAAAGGGUGCGCAGGCGGAAGAUCAAGUCAGCGGUAAAAUUGAGGGGCUCAACCUCUUAGAGCCGUUGAAACUGGUUGUCUUGAGUGAGUGAGAGGUAGGCGGAAUGCGUGGUGUAGCGGUGAAAUGCAUAGAUAUCACGCAGAACUCCGAUUGCGAAGGCAGCAUACCGGCGCUCAACUGACGCUGAUGCACGAAAGUGUGGGUAUCGAACAGGAUUAGAUACCCCAGUAGUC
rnacentral:rRNA from 1 species